AUACGGAGGGUGCAAGCGUUAUCCGGAUUCACUGGGUUUAAAGGGUGCGUAGGUGGGUUGGUAAGUCAGUGGUGAAAUCUCCGAGCUUAACUUGGAAACUGCCAUUGAUACUAUCAGUCUUGAAUACCGUGGAGGUCAGCGGAAUAUGUCAUGUAGCGGUGAAAUGCUUAGAUAUGACAUAGAACACCAAUUGCGAAGGCAGCUGGCUACACGAAUAUUGACACUGAGGCACGAAAGCGUGGGGAUC
rnacentral:rRNA from 1 species